GGGGGCUAGGCCCAAAUGGACGGGCACUCGCACUCUCAGCGAGAAUUGUGGGUUCAAAUCCCACAUCCCCCACUA
rnacentral:tRNA from 1 species